UUAUGGCCACAUCACGUUGGAAACAACUUUUCGCGUACGAUCACCGAAGUGAAGCAACGUCGAGCCUGGUCAGUACCAAUAUGGGUGCCUAUUUGGGAAUACCGGUGC